rnacentral:ncRNA from 1 species
GCAAGCGCCUCCUGAAACAUCGGGCACUAUGGUUGGAAACACCAUAGCUGAAUGUGGUCAAAUUCAAGGAAGCCUAAGUCCUCUGGGGGAUAAGGUAAUCUUGAGCCAAGCUCUACGUCCCUGGUAGAGAAGGUGCAGAGACUGGUUAUAGGUAGCUCAGGGGAUAAUAGAGUGAUUGUAAUCGCCUAUAACACAACGGCCACCACCUACGGACAAUCCGUCUAGGGUGAAGGAAUAGUCCAGAGAGUGGGGAAACUCACAC